rnacentral:lncRNA from 1 species
UGUAAUCAGUGAUCCUGUUUUUGAUCUCAUCAGGGUGGAGAUGCAAUGCAUUGCACACUCAAGAUGUACAUGCUUGAGGGUGUGUCAAGGUGGAAUUUGAACCGGUCAGCACAAGCACUUGGUAUGACUGAGACAUCCUGGACAAAGAUAUAUGACAUACGCUUGAUUUACAACGUGAAUGCGCUCAGCCACAAAGUCUUGGGAAAACCUCUUCUUCCAGAGUUUAUCCCCCCUGGGAAACCUACCGGAGAGCGUAUUGCUGUGUAUCUUCUCGCACAGUCCAACAGAGGAGAUCUUCUGAGACAGCAGGUUGGUGAUGAUGAUGAUUGAUGAUGAGGAUAAUGAUGGCAUCCUGCCAGAUAUCUUCGAUGAAACCUCGAGGAUGAAUGUACCGUCCUCAUGACCUCACAUUGCAGGAAAUUGGAAGCGGUGGCCCCAGGCCCAGGUCGGAUCCCCGGUCCCCAUUUGAGGAGAGUUAUGCCUCUGCAAGACCCGUCCACUCCCCAAUUGAGGAGAGAGAUGCCUCUUCAAGUCCCGUCCACUCCCCAACUGAUGAGAGAGAUGCCACUGCAAGUCCUGUCCACUCCCCAAUCGAUGUCCUCGCCUCAUUUGAAGAGAGUGGGCUCGUUACUCCAGCUCCGAUGACUAAGACAGGGAAGUCAGACAGCUACUGGAGGGACCUCUGCAUAAAAUAUGCCCAGGACCAAUACCGCUUCUCGACUGGCAAACGGCCAGGGGCCAAGAAAUGGAAAAAGGCCUUGGAGAGUAUCGAUGCCUGCCCCCUGCAGAGCCAUAGUGCUAGUAAGGAUCUGUUCGGGAGAAGCCUUCAGUGCUCCUGUGGGUUCCAAAAGAUCUGUCAUCAGGAGCUGGGUCCAGUGAGGCAGGAGUAGUUGAGACGGAGGCAGGGCGAGUCCGAGUCGGCUCAGAGGCAGGAAGAGGAGACAGGGAUGCAGGGGGAGCCCGGUCCCACACAGAGGCAGAGGCAGGGAGAGGAGACAAGGAGGCAGGGAGAAGAGACACAGAGACAAGGAGAGGAGUCACGGAUGCAGGGGGAGCCCGGUCCCACACAGAGGCAGAGGCAGGGAGAGGAGACGAGGAGGCAGGGAGAAGAGGUGAAGAGGAAGUGCAGUGCUACGGGUGCAACCAGCUUGUGGAGGCAGCACAUUUUUCAGAGCACCUGUCUGACCACCAUACACAGGAGACGUGUGACACCU